rnacentral:rRNA from 1 species
UACGUAGGGGGCAAGCGUUGUCCGGAUUUAUUGGGCGUAAAGAGCUCGUAGGCGGUGUGUCGCGUCGGCCGUGAAAACCUGGGGCUCAACUCUGGGCGUGCGGUCGAUACGGGCAUCACUUGAGUUCGGCAGGGGAGACUGGAAUUCCUGGUGUAGCGGUGAAAUGCGCAGAUAUCAGGAGGAACACCGGUGGCGAAGGCGGGUCUCUGGGCCGAUACUGACGUGAGGAGCGAAAGCAUGGGUAGCGAACAGG